rnacentral:rRNA from 1 species
CCUACGUGCGACAGCAGUGAGGAAUAUUGGUCAAUGGGCGCGAGCCUGAACCAGCCAAGUAGCGUGAAGGAUGACUGCCCUGCGGGUUGUAAACUUCUUUUAUAAAGGAAUAAAGUGAGGCACGUGUGCCUUUUUGUGUGUACUUUAUGAAUAAGGAUCGGCUAACUCCGUGCCAGCAGCCGCGGUAAUACGGAGGAUCCGAGCGUUAUCCGGAUUUAUUGGGUUUAAAGGGAGCGUAGAUGGGUUGUUAAGUCAGUUGUGAAAGUUUGCGGCUCAACCGUCAAAUUGCAAUUGAUACUGGCAGUCUUGAGGAUAGUUGAGGUAGGCGGAAUUCGUGGUGUAGCGGUGAAAUGCUUAGAUAUCCCGAAGAACUCCGAUUGCGAAGGCAGCUUACUAAACUGCCACUGACAUUGAUGCUCGAAAGUGUGGGUAUCAAACAGGAUUAGAUACCCCAGUAGUC